CCAAAAUGUAACUUUAACCUUACAUUUUUCAUCUGUCAAAAACAAUUCUCAAUAAUUUUAUAUUAAUUUUUUUAUUUGAUUUAAGCGAUUGGAAUCCCGGUUAUGUUAGCUCAACUCUCAAUUGAUGAAGGUGAUUGCAAAAUUGGUGAUUUGAAAACGGAGUCCUGCAAUUAUUGUUAUUGUUCGAAUACGAGAUGGGUUUGUACCGUUCUAAUCUGUGAAAUUAAUAAGGAAUAAUUUAUUGUUGAGGUUUCUUUAUACAUGGAAUAGUGAAGAAUAGAUAGCGAAGGAGAUUGUUUAUUUUAAGUAUUUUAAUUAAAACAACAAUGAUGCUAUAAAACAUAUAAUAAAUCGUGAAGAAACUGACGUCAUUAAGAGAUUAACAUUAAAUUUUGCACAAAUUAACUUAUUUUUAACAAAAAAUUCU